rnacentral:lncRNA from 1 species
UGUCCACAUCUAGCAACACUUCAAAAAGCAGUAGUUCUUCCUUUAAGGCAGGGGAAUCCUCCAAUUCAAAGACUGGAAACAAUAGUAACUUAAGUUCCAAUUCUGAUGCUCGCAAACCACGCAGAAAGAGGAGACCAAAAAAGAGAAAACAACAAGCUUGUUUAUUGAAACUACAAUUUAAUUGUUUGUGACUUGCGUCGGUUUUUCUCUUUCCUUUCCAUGAUUCUUCAACUACUGAUAUCCAAAAGCCACAGUUUCAUAGUAAUGCAGAUGGUCUUUAUGGUUAAAGCUGGUUCAAUUGCAGUUUUCCUUACCAUUGUUACUUUUACUACUCCAUGUCUGGUUGAACUAUGUUGAGG